AAUCCCAGAUCAGGCGAGAUCACCCGCUGAAUUUAAGCAUAUCAAUAAGCG
rnacentral:rRNA from 1 species